rnacentral:rRNA from 1 species
GCGCGAAAACUUUACAAUGCGGGAAACCGUGAUAAGGGAACUCCGAGUGCCCGUAAAAUCGGGCUGUCCAUCGGUUUAAAUAACCGGUGAAGAAAGGGCCGGGCAAGACCGGUGCCAGCCGCCGCGGUAAUACCGGCGGCUCGAGUGGUGGCCACUAUUACUGGGCUUAAAGCGUUCGUAGCUGGUCUGUUAAGUCUCUGGGGAAAUCUACUGGCUUAACCAAUAGGCGUCUCAGGGAUACUGGCAGACUAGGGACCGGGAGAGGUGAGGGGUACUCCAGGGGUAGGAGUGAAAUCCUGUAAUCCUUGGGGGACCACCUGUGGCGAAGGCGCCUCACCAGAACGGCUCCGACAGUGAGGGACGAAAGCUGGGGGA